rnacentral:tRNA from 2 species
GGGGGGUUGGCCGAGUGGUUGAAGGCAGCAGUCUUGAAAACUGCAGUAGGGCAACCUACCGGGGGUUCGAAUCCCUCACCCCUCGCCA